GACGAACGCUGGCGGCGUGCUUAACACAUGCAAGUCGAACGGAAAGGCCCUGCUUUUGUGGGGUGCUCGAGUGGCGAACGGGUGAGUAACACGUGAGUAACCUGCCCUUGACUUUGGGAUAACUUCAGGAAACUGGGGCUAAUACCGGAUAGGAGCUCCUGCUGCAUGGUGGGGGUUGGAAAGUUUCGGCGGUUGGGGAUGGACUCGCGGCUUAUCAGCUUGUUGGUGGGGUAGUGGCUUACCAAGGCUUGGACGGGUAGCCGGCCGGAGAGGGUGACCGGCCACAUUGGGACUGAGAUACGGCCCAGCCUCCUACGGAAGGCAGCAGUGGGGAAUAUUGCACAAUGGGCGGAAGCCUGAUGCAGCAACGCCGCGUGCGAGAUGCCGGCCUUCGGGUUGUAAACCGCUUUCGCCUGUGACGAAGCGUGAGUGACGGUAAUGGGUAAAGAAGCACCGGCUAACUACGUG
rnacentral:rRNA from 1 species